UUGUGCAAUCUAUAGUUUAAUUUUUAUAAAAUAUUAUCUAAAAUUUGAUAUAAAAAAUAUCUAAUAGUUAAACAUACAAAAUGAAUGCAUGAAAUACAAUAUUAUAAUAUUAAAAAAAAAUACAAAAUGAAUACAUGAAAUACGAUAUUAUAAUAAUAAAAAAAUUAGGAAAAGCAACUCGGCGAGGUAGUGAAAAAGAGAGAAAGAGAGCAAUUAGAGUAGGAUUUUGCCUGUUUGGUUUUGUGAGUCCAAUAAUCUAAAUUCUAUAUACAUAUAAUUAAAAUACAUAAUAUAUAUUAUAUAUAUAUAUAUUAUAUAUAUAUAUAUAUAUAUAUAUAUAUAGAGAGAGAGAGAGAGAGAGAGAGAGAGAGAGAGUUUGGCUACUACAUAUACUUUUAUGAGUGUAAACCCUUUAUACUCAUAAGUUUUCAACCGUUAGAUCUAUUCUUUUGACCAUUUCCAUCCAUUAAAUCAUACUAUUCAAUAAACCACCCACUCAAUCUUAGAGGACCACUAUAAUUCUAUCGCACAUCCAACGGCUG
rnacentral:lncRNA from 1 species